GUGAAUCAUCAAAUCUUUGAACGCAAAUUGCACUCCCUGGUAUUCCGGGGAGUAUGCCUGUUUGAGGGUCGUUAGAACAAAAAUCGACAUCGUUGCUGUUCCGCUGUGACGUUCGUCGGAAAUUGGGUCAUCUUAAAUCUUUUGGGUUUAAUCGACUUAAAAUUUUCUUUUUGAUUCCAUGAACGUGUUUCUAAGAUUUAUUUCUUUACACGUUUAAGUUAUCGAUUUUUAUUAGACGUGACCAUCAUAUCGGAUCUCGUCCAUAAUCUUUCAUUAACUGACCUCAGACAGGUAAGAGUA
rnacentral:misc_RNA from 1 species